rnacentral:lncRNA from 1 species
GUUUGCCUCUCUCAAAUAUGCAAGAAUCAGAAAACAUGCGCCAUCACUAAUUGACUACUUGACAAUUUUGAUACAAUAAAUCAAUAGAAAAACAUAUGCAAGUGGAGAAAAUCCGAACUCAUGCUGUUGCACCUCCUCACUAACCUAAGUGACUUGGCUGUCUUCAUUUAGAUUUGCUAGAUUUUUAUUGAUGGCCCUUUCAGUGCACCAUCUCAAAAUUGCAAAAAAUAUGUCAUCCUUUUGCUUAUCAGCUUUGGAAUUGGUGCAACUCUUUCAUCAGCAUAGUGAAGGAUCUCCUGAACAACAUAAAGUCCAAUAAAGUAACUAAAUCAUUGAAAGCUCUUUCUCAUACAUGAGUAUAGAUGCACAAUGUCCAAAAUGAAUUGGAUUCAACAGGAGCAGUAAAGCAUGCAUGAAGAGGAGUUUGGCAACACCUUCAAGAGCAACGGGCCAAGUCGACCAAACUUCAAUUGGAUUAGCCAGGGAACAAGGCUCAUUUGAAUGGUUCAAAGGUGUCAUGAAUGAAGUUACUAAAAGUGAUAGUGAUGUACAGUAAUACUCUACCGUAAUUGUUUCAGCAAAUGGCAACGUCCCACAUAAUCUAGUUUUGUAAAAGAGAAGUAACCAAAUCUCUUGUUGUACAGAAUGCAAUAUAGAUACACACCUAACAAAUCGCUCUGGUUGCCAUGGUUCAAAUCGCUCCAACACACAAAAAAUGGUGUCAAUAUCGUCUCGAUCAGCAAGGUCUUUUUUCCUCUUCUCCCUUCUCACUCCCUCUGUUAUGGCUCAGGGGAGCAAACUCGCCAGAAGCUCAGGGUGACGAAAAUUCAGCAAAAGCCACACCCCUGAGACAUCAUCAGAAUGCAACAUCAACCAUCAGUCGAAUCACAGUAUAGCAAAGGGGAGAAAAUGCCACAUUAGCGUGCAUGCUGAUUCCGAUUUUGAUGCAGACUCACAUCCAACAACAGUGCUAUGGCGGCCACGCGGGCAGGAGAUGCUUGAGGGGCUUCAGGACCACGGCGAGGCGAUGAGCACCUCCAGGCAGCCCGCGUUCCCGGCCAGGCCAGUGCCGACCCGC